rnacentral:rRNA from 1 species
AUGGGCAUGUUACAAAACAUGGUUGCCAUCCAUCUUUUUCAUUGCGAAAGAUUGCAAAUUCUGUUCAGAUGUGGUACAUCCUUCAAUUUUCUAAAAUUGAGGGAGAUUACGUUGGAACAUUUGUUGGAUUUUGAGAGAUGGUGGGAAAGAUAUGAGAGGCAAGAAGAACAGAUAAUAUUUCCUGUGCUUGAGAAGUUGUUUAUUAAGUAUUGUGGAAAGUUGACGGCAUUGCCAGAAGCAUCAUUGCUUCAUGAACCAUGUGGUGGAGGUUAUAGUGGAGGUGGUUAUAGAUUGGUAAGCUCAACAUUUCCUGUCCUAAAGGUGAUCAAAAUGAACGACUUGGAGAGCUUUCAGAGAUGGGAUGCUGCUGCUGAAAGAGAAUAUAUACUGUUUCCUUUGCUUCAGGAACUAUCAAUUCAGAAAUGCCCAAAUUUGAUAGGUUUGCUUGAGGCACCAUUGCUUCAAGAACCAUGUAGUGGAGGUGGUUAUAGAUUGGUGCGCUCAGCGUUUCCUGCCUUAAAUGUACUCAAACUCAAUGGCUUGGAGAGCUUUCGGAGAUGGGAUGGUGCUGCUGAAGGGGAACAUAUGUUGUUUCCUCAGCUUGAGAAACUAUCAAUUCAGAAUUGCCCAAAGCUGAAAGAUUUACCUAAAGCACCAAAACUAAGUGUAUUGGAAAUUGAAGAUGGCAAGCAAGAGAUAUUCCAUUGGGUAGAAAGAUAUUUGUCUUCGUUGACCAAUCUAGUAUUGAAGCUAGAGUACACAGAAACUGCAUCAGAGGCUCAGUCGACUUCAAUUGUACCGGUGGACAGCAAGAGAAAUGGAACCGGACAUCCCCUAUUGCAGUUAUGA